GUCUUGUCUUAUUUUUAAUUUUAGUUUCUUGUGUAAAAAUUCUGAGUUUAUCACUGAACUAGUGCACAUUUUUUUAAACGGGACCAGCUGAAGGACGCCUCCGGGUGUUUCUCGCUACAUUGAAGACCCAUUGGUGGACUUCGGCUGUUGUCUGCUUUAUGGUCGUUUUCUUGUUGCUUUGGCACAUUCCCCAUUUCCUUUACCAAUUUUAUUUAUUCCUUAUAGUGUUUUUUUAUUAUUGCAACAGCUAAUGAAUGUUAGUUCUCACUUAUAUAAACGGAAAUUUGUCCAGAAUUUAAUGUAUUUAUCGGUAGUGUAUGAUGUACAAGUAAAGUAAUCAAAGAUACCAAGAGACGAUGAAAACUUAACAAAAUUAGACUGAAGCCCAAACAUGUGUCAACAUUUUAGAAAAAAAAAUUAAAAUAUUUUUAUUCAGUUUUGAAUGUUUUAAAAAUCAUAGAAAUGAUACAUGUUUGUACAUGUGAAAGGUAAUGCAAAAUUAAACAACACUUACAUUUCUACAGACUCAAUAUAUUUCAUUUACAUAACACAAAAUCAACCACUACAUGAGAAUGCUGAUGAAAAGCAAAUCAUGCAAAGGA
rnacentral:lncRNA from 1 species